rnacentral:rRNA from 1 species
UACGUAGGGGGCGAGCGUUGUCCGAAUUUACUGGGCGUAAAGCGCGCGUAGGCGGACUUUUAAGUGGAGGGUGAAAUGCCGGGGCUUAACCCCGGAACUGCCUUCCAAACUGGGAGUCUUGAGGCUUGGAGAGGGAAGUGGAAUUCCUGGUGUAGCGGUGAAAUGCGUAGAUAUCAGGAGGAACACCCGUGGCGAAGGCGGCUUCCUGGCCAUGUCCUGACGCUGAGGUGCGAAAGCUAGGGGAGCGAACGGG